AUGUUUUCCUUCAGCUGCUCGCGAUGCACCAUGUGGCGAGAGCACAGCCUGCAAGGGGAAGGGCUGCGUGGGUGGAUGCUCUGGGGAUGCCUGCUCUGGUGGGGAUUAGCUUAAACCUCCCGUUUGCGUUCCUCGGCGUUGAAUUAUUUCUGCAGCGCCCCGUGGGGCGGCUGCCUUGGGCCGUUUGAUUGGGGUAUGGGGCGGCUUGGGAGCUCAGAAAGAGGGGAACACGCAGGGAAGAGCUGGGGAUUUGCAUUGGCUUUUCUCUGGGCAUCAGCUUUGAAACGCUGGGCACCGCAUUGGCGUUGCUGGGUCUGUCUGCAGCGCCAGCUCAACCUUCUCCUCCAGCCCGGACUUGUUUGCCAUCCACGCUGACUCAAGCCUACGUGGAUCCGGGCUCAGCCCAGCGCUGGAGCGCGUGGCCGAGGGGUCAUGGCGAGGAACCGCAUGGCCUGGAUGGACGAAAUGCAGAUAAAUGUUAUUCCUCUCCCACAAUAGCUGCUGGUCUGUUUUGCUCACGAUCAGGCUGUGCUGCAGCUGCUGUCGGGAAGGGGCUCCCAGGCUUUCCCCCUUAUUUUGGGGGCAGCAGCUCUUGUGUGUCCCAGGAGAACAGGGGUCCGGCACGCUUGCUUGUCCAUGCUGUUGCCAGACCAGUAAAGACGGUGGAAGCGCGUCCCGGUCCUCCCAGCAGCACCACACAGGUGAGUUUUCUUUCUUGGAGAGCUCGUGGCUGUCGAUGAGGACACAGCUUUGUAUUUAUGCAGCGCCAGGACCAGCAUCGCUGCCGUGAUUUGCUUUGCGAGGAAGACUCUGGUUUGUGUUGUGUUUCUGUUCAAAGGACUCACGUCAGGGACCCUCCUGGUGAGGGUCACACCAGCCCUGGCGCCGGCACAUGUUCAGCUCCUGUUCCUCCAGCUCUGGCCUCCUGCAGGAGCGACAAACAAUGCGAAAUUCCCGGCCAGGACUCACUGAGAAAGUUGUUGUGGCCUCAGGUUUCAGGCUGCUGUCAGUGCCGAGAGGUUUGGGGAUGGGGAGCGACACUUGGCUCCAUCUGCCCGCCGCUAAUCCCCAGACAAACGCAGCUCUUCCAUCUGUGCAGCCGCAGCCAGCGAGCCCAUCACACCAGCCACUUAAUCUAAAUGGCUUUGGCCAAAGAUAAGGUCAUUAAUUACACUGGGAUUAGAAAACAGUCCAGGCCUGGCGUGGCUUGGCUUGCCAUCAGUUAAAGUCCUCAGUGCCCUGGCCUGGCUGAGCGUUUGGGGGUGUUCAGGUGGAGAAGAGAAGCUCCGGGGAGACUUUAUCACACCUUUCUGUACUUAAAAGGAGCCCAUAAGAAAGAUGGGGACAGACUUUUGAGCAGACCCUGUUGCAAUAGGACAAGGAGUGAUGGUUUUAAACUAAAGGAGGGAGAUUCAGGCUGGACUUGAGGAGGAAUUGUUGCCCUGAGGGUGGUGAGAGCCUGGCCCAGGUUGGCCAGAGAGGUGGUGGAUGAACCAUCCCUGGAGACAUCCCAGGCCAGGCUGGACGGGGCUCUGAGCACCCUGAGCUGGUGAAGAUGUCCCUGCUCACAGCAGGGGGGGCACUGGGGGACAUUUGAAGGUCCCUUCCCAGAGAGGUGACGGAUUCCCCGCCGAUACCCCGGCCACAGUUCACAGGGGUUGCGGAGAAGCGGUGUUGCAAGAGCCUGAAAAUGAAAGGAGCUGUUGGCCGGGUUGUGCAACACCGUGCGCGUCCCGCGGGAGUUCGGUGGCUUUGGCGGCAAAGCCCGGGCAUGCACGGCCAAAUCCUGGCACCAGGCCUGGGAAAUGCCGGUAUCCAAAAGGUGGGGGGAUGCCGGGUCUCCCCCUCUCUUUGUCCCCUUCUUGUGCUGCCUGUGAUCCCCUGGGGCAGCCGUGGCCAGGGGGUGCUGGGGGGUGCGGGGCCAUGUGGGGCUGUGGUGGGCAGAUGGGUGUCCCCACACUGGGGACAAACCAGUGGGGGGGUCGGGAGCUCAGGGCGCUGUGGGACCCUCCAGCACGCCCCAGAGGCAAUGGUCAUUACCCACUGCACAGGUGGGGAAACUGAGGCACGGGGACCCUGCCAGAGCAUGCUGCCAGCCCACGGGAGGGCUCUGGGGUGCUGGUGUCACACGGGGUGCCCAUCGGCAGCGCGGGGGGGCCGUGUGGGGCAGCUGGGGGGGCUGGCAGUGCAGCAGCUGCCCAUGGCGGGAAAAGUGGCGGGAGGGAAAGCGCCGGGGGGGCGGCGGGACAACAACCCCGGGCGGGGACUUGGCCCUGUGCCCCGAGAGCCUGGCCAGGCGGGGGGAGCGCUGGGGUGUCCCUGAGGGGGGUGACACAGCCCCGGCCGCGGGCUGGCACAGGGCCCUGCGCUGCGGGGUGCACGUCGGGGGGUCCCCAAGCUCGGGGGGUUGCGGGUGGGGGCUGAGGGCCAGAGGGUCCCCUGUGGUGGGGCUGGCAGGAGCUGGGGGGGGGCCACUAGGGCGGCUUUGUCACGGUGUCACAGGGCCAUCUGCUGGCUAAGGGACGGGCCCCGUGGCAGCCGCCAUGGCCUCCAGCAGCUCCCAGUGCUCCCAGUCUGCAGCUGCUGGGGCAGGAGGGUGCCCUGGAUGGGCUGGAUGGGGAGCAGCUGGGGGGGCACCCCACCUUGGGGGGCCAUCCUGGGGACCAGCCCUUGGCUGUAGUGCCCCUGAAGGCUCCCAGUCAGCAGCAGUGUCAGAGUGGCUGGGAGAUGGGUCCCCAGGGUGUCACAGGGCGGGAUGUGGUCCCUGGGGGAUUCAGUCCCUGCGGUGUCACAGAUCGGGUCUUUGGGGGGCUCAGUCCCUGGGGUGUCACAGAUCGGGUCUUUGGGGGGCUUCAGUCCCUGGGGUGUCACAGAUCGGGUCUUUGGGGGGCUUCAGUCCCUGGGGUGUCACAGCCCCAGGUGCCACCAGCCGGUGCGGUGCAGGUUGGGACACGGCAGAGAUGACCCCGCUCCAGCCACGAACAGAUUAAAUGUCAUUUUAUUUCACACCCCCCACAAAAAAAUGUAGAAAAGAAGAGGUGAGUGGAGAUUUUGCUGCUCGUAUUAAAAAUCUCCCAGGUGUGA